rnacentral:rRNA from 1 species
GAGCUGAUCCAGCCAUGCCGCGUGUGUGAAGAAGGUCUUCGGAUUGUAAAGCACUUUAAGCCGGGAGGAAGGGUUGUAGAUUAAUACUCUGCAAUUUUGACGUUACCGACAGAAUAAGCACCGGCUAACUCUGUGCCAGCAGCCGCGGUAAUA